GCGGCCGCCGUGAGCGGUGUCUACCGCCGUGCAGGCCGCGACGUGGCCGCCCUGGCUAGUAGGCUGGCGGCAGCCCAGGCGGCGGGGCUGGCGGCGGCCCACAGCGUGCGCCUGGCGCGCGGGGACCUUUGUGCGCUGGCCGAGCGUCUGGACAUCGUGGCUGGCUGCCGCCUGCUGCCGGACAUCCGCGGCGUGCCAGGGACCGAGCCUGAGAAAGACCCGGGGCCGCGGGCCUAGCCAUGAUUCUACUUCCCAACCUGACUGCAAUUUGGGGGCCCAAAAUGAUGGCCCCUCUUAACCCAAGGCAGGGGAUCUUCCUCCCAACUCCCUGGACCAAGGUGGCAUUUCCUGCACACCCCUCCAGGCCAAGAUGAUGCUCGCUCUCAACUCUGUAGGCCAAGGUGGCGUCUCCUCUUGACUCUCCAGACCUAAAGUGACACCCUUCAGGCACUUCGGGCCCAAUUCAGCC
rnacentral:lncRNA from 10 species